AGAACGAACGCUGGCGGCAUGCCUAAUACAUGCAAGUCGAACGAGACCUUCGGGUCUAGUGGCGCACGGGUGCGUAACGCGUGGGAAUCUGCCCUUGGGUUCGGAAUAACAGUUGGAAACGACUGCUAAUACCGGAUGAUGACGUAAGUCCAAAGAUUUAUCGCCCAGGGAUGAGCCCGCGUAGGAUUAGCUAGUUGGUGAGGUAAAGGCUCACCAAGGCGACGAUCCUUAGCUGGUCUGAGAGGAUGAUCAGCCACACU
rnacentral:rRNA from 1 species